UUGUACGCACAGCACACGACACGUUCGAUUCUAGGAUGACGUCAGAUCCACGAGCUAUGACGACUACAAGGUAUAGUUCAGUCACUCAUCGCAUCGCCUUCUGAAAGGUCUGACCUAAUUACUUGAUAACAAAAAUACCCCCGUGGGCUAGCCAACAUCAAACGAGUGUUACCCCCGCGCUGAGGAGCAGACGAUGAACUGGAGACCAGACAAUACAGGCACCACUUCUCACCUGUACGCCUGCGGUUCCAGACUCAGGGCUGAUGUUGGAGUCAUAAACCAUAAACUUGAUGUUGGAGUCAUGAAACUACAAACUUGAUGUUGGAGUCAUGAAACUACAAACUUGAUGUUGGAGUCA